UCGAGGAUCAUUUGCAAUGGGCGAAAGCCUGACAAUGCGACGCUGCGUGGAGGAUGAAGGCCUUCGGGUUGUAAACUCCUGUCAUUCGGGAACAAUAAGCUGGGUGUUAACAGCGCCUGGAAUUGAUAGUACCGGAAGAGGAAGCCACGGCUAACUCUGUGCCAGCAGCCGCGGUAAUACAGAGGUGGCAAGCGUUGUUCGGAUUUACUGGGCGUAAAGGGUGCGUAGGUGGUUUUGUGUGUCGAAUGUGAAAUCCCACUGCUUGACGGUGGAACGGCAUUCGGAACUGCGAGACUUGAGUGCAGGAGGGGAGAGCGGAAUUCUUGGUGUAGCGUUGAAAUGCGUUGAUAUUAAGAAGAACACCGGUGGCGAAGGCGGCUCUCUGGAAUGCAACUGACACUGAGGCACGAAAGCUAGGGGAGCAAACGGG
rnacentral:rRNA from 1 species